rnacentral:misc_RNA from 1 species
UCCGGUUUGUCACCGGCAGUCUCUGCAGAGUCCUCGGCUCUACCCGUUAGCAACAGGACAUAAGGGUUGCGCUCGUUGCGGGACUUAACCCAACAUCUCACGACACGAGCUGACGACAGCCAUGCAGCACCUGUGUAAGCUCCCCUUGCGGGGUCGUCACCCUUUCGGGCUUCUACCACCUACAUGUCAAGGCCAGGUAAGGUUCUUCGCGUUGCAUCGAAUUAAGCCACAUACUCCACCGCUUGUGCAGGCCCCCGUCAAUUCCUUUGAGUUUCAGCCUUGCGGCCGUACUCCCCAGGCGGGGCACUUAAUGCGUUAGCGCCGGCACCCAGGGGGUCGCUCCCCCAGGCACCUAGUGCCCAUCGUUUACGGCGUGGACUAC